rnacentral:RNase_P_RNA from 1 species
GUAAGAGCGCACCGCGCAGCUGGUAACAGCUGUGGCAGGGUAAACCCCACUCGGAGCAAGACCAAAUAGGGGAACAUUGGCGCGGCCCGCGUUGUUCCCGGGUAGGUUGCUUGAGGUGCGUGGUGACGCGUGACCCAGAUGAAUGAUCGUCCACGACAGAACCCGGCUUAUCGGCCAACUCCCACC